UACGUAGGGUGCAAGCGUUGUCCGGAAUUAUUGGGCGUAAAGAGCUCGUAGGUGGCCUGUCGCGUCGGCUGUGAAAACUCGGGGCUCAACUCCGAGCUUGCAGUCGAUACGGGCAGGCUAGAGUUCGGCAGGGGAGACUGGAAUUCCUGGUGUAGCGGUGAAAUGCGCAGAUAUCAGGAGGAACACCGAUGGCGAAGGCAGGUCUCUGGGCCACUACUGACGCUGAGAAGCGAAAGCGUGGGGAGCGAACAGG
rnacentral:rRNA from 1 species